CAAUAGCGUAUAUUAAAGUUGUUGCGGUUAAAAAGCUCGUAGUUGGAUUUCUGCUGAGAACGACCGGUCCGCCCUUUGGGUGUGUAUCUGGCUCUUUCUUGGCAUCUUCUUGGUGAACGUUGCUGCACUUGACUGUGUGGAGCGCUACCCAGGACUUUUACUUUGAGGGAAUUAGAGUGUUUCAAGCAGGCAUACGCCUUGAAUACAUUAGCAUGGAAUAAUAAGAUAGGACCUCGGUUCUAUUUUGUUGGUUUCUAGAGCUGAGGUAAUGAUUAAUAGGGAUAGUUGGGGGCAUUCGUAUUUAACUGUCAGAGGUGAAAUUCUUGGAUUUGUUAAAGACGGACUACUGCGAANGNAUUUGCNAAGGAUGUUUNCAUUG
rnacentral:rRNA from 1 species